rnacentral:rRNA from 1 species
AGUGAACGCUGGCGGUAGGCCUAACACAUGCAAGUCGAACGGCAGCACAGGAGAGCUUGCUCUCUGGGUGGCGAGUGGCGGACGGGUAAGGAAUACAUCGGAAUCUACUUUUUCGUGGGGGAUAACGUAGGGAAACUUACGCUAAUACCGCAUACGACCUACGGGUGAAAGCAGGGGACCUUCGGGCCUUGCGCGAUUGAAUGAGCCGAUGUCGGAUUAGCUAGUUGGCGGGGUAAAGGCCCACCAAGGCGACGAUCCGUAGCUGGUCUGAGAGGAUGAUCAGCCACACUGGAACUGAGACACGGUCCAGACUCCUACGGGAGGCAGCAGUGGGGAAUAUUGGACAAUGGGCGCAAGCCUGAUCCAGCCAUACCGCGUGGGUGAAGAAGGCCUUCGGGUUGUAAAGCCCUUUUGUUGGGAAAGAAAUCCAACUGGCUAAUACCCGGUUGGGAUGACGGUACCCAAAGAAUAAGCACCGGCUAACUUCGUGCCAGCAGCCGCGGUAA